GAAUGAAUACAUCUGUCAAAAUGGUAGAAUUUUGCUGGUGUUGUUUGGAUUUUGCUCUCGCUUCGGAUUUUCCGAAGUAAGUUUUUAGAAUUUCGGGUUAGAAUUUCGGUUCGAAAAUGGCCAUCAUCGGAUGGUACGGUUACAGCAAGAAGCUUGAGGAAGAAAAACGGACGAUUUGUGCGACGUAAGUGGAAAUUUCGUUCAUCAAAGCUAAGUUCGGAUUGCCGGGGAAAAAAAAUCAGAUGCCGACGGCUGCUGCUCCAAAAACCCAGCGCACAAAAAGGCGGUGUUUGUUAACCAUUUCCAAAGGUUUAUCAGUAAUGGCGAAUGCUGCCGGUUUAUAUAUUUUCCUCAACUGAAGUUACCCCCGUGGCAUGCCGGAAGUUGUUAUCGCCUGCCAGAUAGGAGAUCAUGGAAUGCCGAGCAUUGAUCGAAACCAACGAAAUAGCAGCAGCAGCAUCAGAUUCAAACGACAAAUUUCGGUUACAUAAACCUAAAUCCGGUUUUCAAUUUACAAUAAAAUUGUAUUUCAAACUUAAA